GACGAACCGUGCAAACGUUGUUCGGAAUCACUGGGCUUAAAGGGCGCGUAGGCGGGCCACCAAGUCCGGGGUGAAAUCUUUCGGCUCAACCGGAAAAUUGCCUUGGAUACUGGUGGUCUGGAGGGAGGUAGGGGCAUGUGGAACUUCCGGUGGAGCGGUGAAAUGCGUUGAUAUCGGAAGGAACGCCGGUGGCGAAAGCGACGUGCUGGACCUCUUCUGACGCUGAGGCGCGAAAGCUAGGGGAGCGAACGGG
rnacentral:rRNA from 1 species